GAAAUGCGAUAAGUAAUGUGAAUUGCAGAAUUCAGUGAAUCAUCGAAUCUUUGAACGCACAUUGCGCCCGCCAGCACUCUGGCGGGCAUGCCUGUUCGAGCGUCAUUUCAACCCUUAGAACCCCUUGCGGGAUCUGGCGUUGGGGAUUGGCAUCCAGCCAGCCCCGAAAUCUAGCGGCGGUCCCUCCGCGACCUCCCCUGUGCAGUAGCGAUACCUCGCAGCGGGACAGCGGUCUGACCACGCCGUAAAACCCCCAACUUCUCAAGGUUGACCUCGAAUCAGGUAGGAAUACCCGCUGAACUUAAGC
rnacentral:misc_RNA from 1 species